rnacentral:misc_RNA from 1 species
GAUCAUUAGUGAAUUAAACAUGCUUGGUGUCUUCGCUUCGGCAAGGCCCUUGCUUAACUCACAUCCCAACACCUGUGAACUGUAAGGCGCAUGACUAGGUUCGCCCAGUCAUCGUCUGCCCUUUUUAACAAACAAUUAAUGUAACAAACGUAGUCUUAUUAUAACCUAAUAAAACUUUCAACAACGGAUCUCUUGGCUCUCGCAUCGAUGAAGAACGCAGCGAAAUGCGAUAAGUAAUGUGAAUUGCAGAAUUCAGUGAAUCAUCGAAUCUUUGAACGCACCUUGCGCUCUUUGGUAUUCCGAAGAGCAUGCCUGUUUGAGUGUCAUGAAAAUAUCAACCUUGACUUGGGUUUUGUGCUCUAGUCUCGGCUUGGAUUUGGGUGCUUGCCGCUUUAACGAGCGGCUCACCUUAAAUGUAUUAGCUGGAUCUGUCUUUGAGACUUGGUUUGACUUGGCGUAAUAAGUAUUUCGCUAAGGACAUUCUUCGGAGUGGCCUCGUUUCUAGGACGCUUGUCCGCUUUCCAAUACAAGUUCCACCUCGUGGACAUGACUUUUUAUUAUCUGGCCUCAAAUCAG